GUUAUAGCCAUGUGACUGAUCUUCGUCCAAGAAUAUGUAAAGAAAAAGUGUUGAGUUGGCUUUUAGGGCUAGAGCAAUGUAUCUUAGGCUCACUUAAGGAAGCUGUAGAGAUGAGCCCAAGGAGGGAAACCAGAAGAGCCCCCCAGGCUCACCAGUUGUUUGUUGGCUCCCUACAAACAUGUCAUUCAAGUGGCUAAUCUUACAACAGCACAAAUUCAUCUAACCAGAAAGAGAAGAGGAGGCUCCAAAGGCACUUGACUACUGAGCAUCACCCUGGACGUGUACAAGUCUGCGUCCUUAUUGUUUUCUUCAUUGGGCCGAACUUUCUGGUCCUCAUCCAACAGCUCUUCUAUCACGUGUUCGAAAGUGUCAGCCAAUGAUGUCAAGCCUCUUGAACCUGCCUUGGGCCCAUUCACGCUCUCCAGAGUCCCAUGGGUCCGCACACCUGGAGAUACUCUAUUAUAGCAAAGAAGAAAGAUAAUUUCAUUGAGCCAUCCUGUUUUACAGCACCCAACAGAAUCCCUUCAAAGCCUCGUGGUCUGACACCCUAUGCUACGUGACUUGUGACCCAUCCAUUUGUCAUGUUCUUCGGGAAUGUGGCUAAGGGGCUAAGAUGUGACUUGAAAAGAAAGGUAGAACAAGAUCAUCUCAAAUUUAUUAUCAAGGAAUAGUUCAGAAAACGACUUCAGACCACAGAGACAGCAGAACAGAUGGUCCGGCAUGGAUAGAGCAUCAGACACUCACAGACUGUGCCAACAAGAGCCAUCGAGUCAAAACAGCCAAAGGAAGGAGGGUCAUGGAAUGGGUUCUCUCACACCAAACUGAUGCCCAGAGGCCCUCAGCAUGAAUAACAAAGGCAACCAGACCCACAAGCCAUACUGAGUGGAUACAAAACCUAUACCUAGGCUGACAUCCCAAAUGUGUGUGGCAAGUUAGAUGAUGAUGGCACAAAAGACAGAACACCUUGCUUCUGGCCAUUGUCAGCUCUUGGAAGAGAGCACACUUUUAGAGGAGCAGCUGCAAGGAGCCUGAGAACAAAACUGGAAAUGUCUGUUAUGAAAGCCUUCACAGGAAAUUCUGCAAGUGGCAACGUGGGUCCAUUCCGUGUGUGUCACUAGAGCUGGCGCAAGCCCAUGGCCAUGGUGAGGCAGCGUUUCCACUGGAACUAAUCUGAUACCUGCACCAGCUCUUGCAACUGUGCAGUGUUCCCACUGCAAACUACGGAUGGGGUAAAAGACUGCUCACCUCCUAUUUCUCAUCUAAUCUCACACACUCUGUUUGAUGAGGCUAUGGAGAAACAGGUCUUCUCAUACACUAAAGGUGGGAGUACAAACAAUUCAAGCCCUGUGCAGGACAAUUAGGCAAUACCU
rnacentral:lncRNA from 1 species